rnacentral:rRNA from 1 species
GCGGCGUGCCUAAUACAUGCAAGUCGAGCGGACUUAAAAAGCUUGCUUUUUAAGUUAGCGGCGGACGGGUGAGUAACACGUGGGCAACCUGCCUGUAAGACUGGGAUAACUUCGGGAAACCGGAGCUAAUACCGGAUAAUCCUUUCCUACUCAUGUAGGAAAGCUGAAAGACGGUUUACGCUGUCACUUACAGAUGGGCCCGCGGCGCAUUAGCUAGUUGGUGAGGUAACGGCUCACCAAGGCGACGAUGCGUAGCCGACCUGAGAGGGUGAUCGGCCACACUGGGACUGAGACACGGCCCAGACUCCUACGGGAGGCAGCAGUAGGGAAUCUUCCGCAAUGGACGAAAGUCUGACGGAGCAACGCCGCGUGAGUGAUGAAGGUUUUCGGAUCGUAAAACUCUGUUGUUAGGGAAGAACAAGUACGAGAGUAACUGCUCGUACCUUGACGGUACCUAACCAGAAAGCCACGGCUAACUACGUGCCAGCAGCCGCGGUAAUACGUAGGUGGCAAGCGUUGUCCGGAAUUAUUGGGCGUAAAGCGCGCGCAGGCGGUCCUUUAAGUCUGAUGUGAAAGCCCACGGCUCAACCGUGGAGGGUCAUUGGAAACUGGGGGACUUGAGUGCAGAAGAGAAGAGUGGAAUUCCACGUGUAGCGGUGAAAUGCGUAGAGAUGUGGAGGAACACCAGUGGCGAAGGCGACUCUUUGGUCUGUAACUGACGCUGAGGCGCGAAAGCGUGGGGAGCAAACAGGAUUAGAUACCCUGGUAGUCCACGCCGUAAACGAUGAGUGCUAAGUGUUAGAGGGUUUCCGCCCUUUAGUGCUGCAGCAAACGCAUUAAGCACUCCGCCCUGGGGAGUACGGCCGCAAGGCUGAAACUCAAAGGAAUUG